rnacentral:rRNA from 1 species
UACAGAGGUCUCAAGCGUUGUUCGGAUUCAUUGGGCGUAAAGGGUGUGUAGGUGGCGCGCUAAGUCGGGUGUGAAAUUUCGGAGCUUAACUCCGAAACUGCAUUCGAUACUGGCGUGCUUGAGGACUGGAGAGGAGACUGGAAUUCACGGUGUAGCAGUGAAAUGCGUAGAUAUCGUGAGGAAGACCAGUGGCGAAGGCGGUUCUCUGGGACGGUACUGACGCUGAGACGCGAAAGCGUGGGGAGCGAACAGG